AGGAAUAUUGUAUCCAAAAAAACUAUUGAAAGAAAAAGCAAUAGAAAGCAGUUUUUAAAGGUGAUUCAAGUUAGUUUUCUUCCUUUCUUUUCGCUGCUGUUCUUUUUAUUUUUUAUUUUUUAUUUUUGAUUGAUUGAUUGUAAAAAAAUAUAUAGAAAAAAGGGGCUUAGAACUCAUCCUUGGAUCGGUGCGCCGCCGAAUCCCU
rnacentral:lncRNA from 1 species